rnacentral:rRNA from 2 species
AGACCCGAAACCCGGUGAUCUAGCCAUGGGCAGGUUGAAGGUUGGGUAACACUAACUGGAGGACCGAACCGACUAAUGUUGAAAAAUUAGCGGAUGACCUGUGGCUGGGGGUGAAAGGCCAAUCAAACCGGGAGAUAGCUGGUUCUCCCCGAAAGCUAUUUAGGUAGCGCCUCGUGAAUUCAUCUCCGGGGGUAGAGCACUGUUUCGGCUAGGGGGCCAUCCCGGCUUACCAACCCGAUGCAAACUGCGAAUACCGGAGAAUGUUAUCACGGGAGACACACGGCGGGUGCUAACGUCCGUCGUGAAGAGGGAAACAACCCAGACCGCCAGCUAAGGUCCCAAAGUCAUGGUUAAGUGGGAAACGAUGUGGGAAGGCCCAGACAGCCAGGAUGUUGGCUUAGAAGCAGCCAUCAUUUAAAGAAAGCGUAAUAGCUCACUGGUCGAGUCGGCCUGCGCGGAAGAUGUAACGGGGCUAAACCAUGCACCGAAGCUGCGGCAGCGAACGUAUCACCCAAGACAACUUUACGGAGUUGACGAUUGACGGAGCGAAGCGACGUCAAAGCGUUCAUUAAAGUCGAGUUGGCUUAGGGAUACGUUCGUUGGGUAGGGGAGCGUUCUGUAAGCCUGUGAAGGUGUGUCGUGAGGCAUGCUGGAGGUAUCAGAAGUGCGAAUGCUGACAUAAGUAACGAUAAAGCGGGUGAAAAGCCCGCUCGCCGGAAGACCAAGGGUUCCUGUCCAACGUUAAUCGGGGCAGGGUGAGUCGACCCCUAAGGCGAGGCCGAAAGGCGUAGUCGAUGGGAAACGGGUUAAUAUUCCCGUACUUGGUGUUACUGCGAAGGGGGGACGGAGAAGGCUAUGUUGGCCGGGCGACGGUUGUCCCGGUUUAAGCGUGUAGGUGUGUGUUCCAGGUAAAUCCGGUUCACUUUAACACUGAGGCGUGAUGACGAGGCACUACGGUGCUGAAGCAACAAAUGCCCUGCUUCCAGGAAAAGCCUCUAAGCAUCAGGUAACAUCAAAUCGUACCCCAAACCGACACAGGUGGUCAGGUAGAGAAUACCAAGGCGCUUGAGAGAACUCGGGUGAAGGAACUAGGCAAAAUGGUGCCGUAACUUCGGGAGAAGGCACGCUGACACGUAGGUGAAGUGAUUUACUCACGGAGCUGAAGUCAGUCGAAGAUACCAGCUGGCUGCAACUGUUUAUUAAAAACACAGCACUGUGCAAACACGAAAGUGGACGUAUACGGUGUGACGCCUGCCCGGUGCCGGAAGGUUAAUUGAUGGGGUCAGCGCAAGCGAAGCUCCUGAUCGAAGCCCCGGUAAACGGCGGCCGUAACUAUAACGGUCCUAAGGUAGCGAAAUUCCUUGUCGGGUAAGUUCCGACCUGCACGAAUGGCGUAAUGAUGGCCAGGCUGUCUCCACCCGAGACUCAGUGAAAUUGAACUCGCUGUGAAGAUGCAGUGUACCCGCGGCAAGACGGAAAGACCCCGUGAACCUUUACUAUAGCUUGACACUGAACAUUGAGCCUUGAUGUGUAGGAUAGGUGGGAGGCUUUGAAGUGUGGACGCCAGUCUGCAUGGAGCCGACCUUGAAAUACCACCCUUUAAUGUUUGAUGUUCUAACGUGGACCCGUAAUCCGGGUUGCGGACAGUGUCUGGUGGGUAGUUUGACUGGGGCGGUCUCCUCCUAAAGAGUAACGGAGGAGCACGAAGGUUGGCUAAUCCUGGUCGGACAUCAGGAGGUUAGUGCAAUGGCAUAAGCCAGCUUGACUGCGAGCGUGACGGCGCGAGCAGGUGCGAAAGCAGGUCAUAGUGAUCCGGUGGUUCUGAAUGGAAGGGCCAUCGCUCAACGGAUAAAAGGUACUCCGGGGAUAACAGGCUGAUACCGCCCAAGAGUUCAUAUCGACGGCGGUGUUUGGCACCUCGAUGUCGGCUCAUCACAUCCUGGGGCUGAAGUAGGUCCCAAGGGUAUGGCUGUUCGCCAUUUAAAGUGGUACGCGAGCUGGGUUUAGAACGUCGUGAGACAGUUCGGUCCCUAUCUGCCGUGGGCGCUGGAGAACUGAGGGGGGCUGCUCCUAGUACGAGAGGACCGGAGUGGACGCAUCACUGGUGUUCGGGUUGUCAUGCCAAUGGCACUGCCCGGUAGCUAAAUGCGGAAGAGAUAAGUGCUGAAAGCAUCUAAGCACGAAACUUGCCCCGAGAUGAGUUCUCCCUGAGACUUAGAGUCUCCUGAAGGAACGUUGAAGACGACGACGUUGAUAGGCCGGGUGUGUAAGCGCAGCGAUGCGUUGAGCUAACCGGUACUAAUGAACCGUGAGGCUUAACCUUACA